rnacentral:lncRNA from 1 species
UUAGACUCAAUUGAUGUCAUAUGUUAAUGAAAAUGAAACAUUUAACAUACUAGCUGUUGAAUUUCUAAACAGACUUACACCCUCUGGCCUUCCCAAUCAUAAGAUUAAGUUGAAAGUUGGAACUUCAAUAAUGAUAUAGAGGAAUUUAAAUCAGUCUAAAAAUAUAAUGAUGCAAGAUUAAAUGUUACUAAAAGUCAGGGUUAUAUUUAAGUAGACUAAUAUUAUGUCAUGAUCAAUUAUAUGUAACUACAAAGAAAAA